GAUGAACGCUGGCGGCGUGCCUAAUACAUGCAAGUCGAGCGAACAGAUAAGGAGCUUGCUCCUUUGACGUUAGCGGCGGACGGGUGAGUAACACGUGGGUAACCUACCUAUAAGACUGGGAUAACUUCGGGAAACCGGAGCUAAUACCGGAUAAUAUUUCGAACCGCAUGGUUCGAUAGUGAAAGAUGGUUUUGCUAUCACUUAUAGAUGGACCCGCGCCGUAUUAGCUAGUUGGUAAGGUAACGGCUUACCAAGGCGACGAUACGUAGCCGACCUGAGAGAGUGAUCGGCCACACUGGAACUGAGACACGGUCCAGACUCCUACGGGAGGCAGCAGUAGGGAAUCUUCCGCAAUGGGCGAAAGCCUGACGGAGCAACGCCGCGUGAGUGAUGAAGGUCUUCGGAUCGUAAAACUCUGUUAUUAGGGAAGAACAUACGUGUGAGUAACUGUGCACGUCUUGACGGUACCUAAUCAGAAAGCCACGGCUAACUACGUG
rnacentral:rRNA from 1 species